AUAAGGGUGCUUCUAUCAUUACUUUUAUUAAACAUUUAACACUGGAAGUGUAAGCUAGUACAAAAAAACAAAAAGUAUAAAUGCUAUUCAUAGAUUAUAAGACUGUCUCCAUUGAAAACUGUAGAAAAUACUGGAAUUAAUAAUAAUCAUAAAUAUAAAAUAAAUUGAAAUUUCAAUGCAUCACCAUCGAGCUGACUCUGUCAUAACUCUUAGGUGAAAGCAAAGGACACUGAUAGGGAAAGAGCAGGUUCGGGUGGGCUAGACCAAGGAGGGAAGAAAAUUAUUCUGCACUGGGCUGAACUUAUAAGCACGGUUAUGUGUGUUAGUUACCUAGUCCCUCCAUAACAAAAAAUAUCACAACUAGAUGGCUUUAAAGAACAGAAAUUUACUUUCUCACGGUUUAGCAGGUAGUCGUUCGAAUUCAGGGCAUGGCUGUAGUGGGAGGUCCUUCCUUGUCUACCUCAGCUUCUAGUAGAUGCCAGCAAUCAUUUGUGUUCCUGGCCUUCUAGAAGCAUCUGUCUUCUUUGUCUGUCUUCCUUUUCACCUGUUUGUGUCUGUGUGUGUUCUGCUCCUUUUAUAACUAAGAAGAGUUAGGCUUAGGACCCACCCUACAUUGGUAUGACCUCAUUCACAUAAUAAAAGCAGGCCCCCUCUUUCCUAACAAGGUCAGAUUUACAGGUACCGGGGUUAGGAUUUCCACAUACAUUUUGGAGGGACACAAUUCAAUCCCUAACAGUCGACUUACCAGAUACUCUGGAUUGAGAGUACUCGCAUGAACAGCUGAGAGUGGUUCCAAUUCUUUGCUACAUUCGUUGGCUGAAACUUGUCUCAAUGGUCAUCCAUAGGAAUGCUGGAGCAAUUUAUUGUGUAGGACCUAGCCAACCAUUCCUAAUCACGUCCAUUGUGUGGAAAAACACACAAUCCCAUCACUGAAGCCUUGAGAAAUUCAUCGAUAAGAAUGGAAUGGUGGUUGGAACCAAGAAUUGUUUCAUAGCCUAGAUAACAUGGUGUGGGUGUUAGAUAUUCACAUGGAGAUGUCAGGUAAUAAAACUUCACCCCACAUGGGGAUGUCAAGAAUAAUACCAACAGCUAAUGUUCAUUGAGUACCUACACUGGUGCCAGGCACUCCUGUGCUUUCCCUUUCAUGUUUGCUUUUCAUGAUGGCCAUAUGAGGAAUGUAUCAUUAUAAUGCAUAAAGAGGUCAAUACAGAGAGUUAGGCUGACAUUUCAAUAUAUGAGUCUGGACCCAGGAGGAGUUUGAAUGGAUGGAGGUAUAAACCUCACGUCCUUAGCUACAAAUAGACAGCAGUAAACUCACUGAGGCAUCCUACAGGGAGGGUGUCAAUAGAGAGAGGAGCAGGCACCAAGCCCAAGGGUACUCUGGUAUCUAGAAGCCUGCCAGGUGAACAGCAGCCAACAAGCCUCUCUGAAGUCCAGUGUGGUUCCUGGAGGGUUGUCUGUCCUUGCUCUCAGCUGCAUUUCCCCAGUGCUCCUCCCACCUGCACUGGGUUGUCCCCUUCAUGACGACAGGGACAGUGUGUACCUUUCACCACUGUAUCUGCAUAACAUAGACUAUUUCUGGCCCAUGGAAUAUACUGACUGAAUGAAAAAUAAACAAAUGAUAAGGACGUAAAAUGCUUCGUAGUUGAUACCUUGGGAUACAUUAAGGGGCUUCAUGAGUAAGAGGGAGAAAAACUGAUCAGGGCUGCUUCUGAGACCAUCUCUUAGGCGUAAAGAGUGUUAAACAAUAAUUAAACAAAGAGAUUUAAUGGCAGAGAUGUAUGUUAAAAAGAUGUAAGUAUACAUUGAAGAUUACUAGAAACAUGCACAUUUAUUAUUGCAACUAUAGUUCAAAUUGUUAAAAAACAUAUACUACAUGCACACAGAAUAUUAUAAAGUAAUUUAAUGCCCUCAUUAAAAAAAAACAAAAAAAAUUUAUCAUGAGAAAAGACUAAUGAUGAAUGAAAAUAUCAGGAUAUAAUAUCUGUGUUAAUGUACAUAAAUGUGUGUGCUAAUACACACAUAAAACCAGUUGCCACUGAGUCAGUUCUGAUUCAUGAUGACGCCAGUGUGCCAGAGUAGAACUGUACUCCAUAGGGGUUUCAGUGGCUGGGUUUUCGGAAGUAGGCUGCCAGACCUCUCUUUCACAGCAAUUCUGGGUGGACCUGAACUCCAACUUUCUGUCAGCAGCUCAAGAUAUUAACCAUUUGCAUCAACCAGAGACUCUAAUACGCAUACAUGCCAAUGUAAGUAAGAUAACAGACAUAUCGGAACGUUAAUAAUUUAUUCUAUGCAUUACGUAUGUUUUCUUGUUAUUUAUUGCAUAUUUUCCCAUUGCUUCCAAGUUUUUGAGGAAUAGAAUGUACUUCUGGAAAAAUUCAUGAGAGAUUUUUAAGUAAUGAAAUAAUUAACAGAAACAGAAUGAGUAAAUCUGUGGCAAGGCAGCCCAUGAACCCAAGAUUACAGUAACACUGGUAUGAAAAGGAGAAUUGUGGAGUCCUGAAGCUCAGUGGUCCCAUGCAUGCAUCAGGAAAGAGGGAAGAGCAAAUAAACGAGGAGAAAAUACAGUGAGCCAGAGGAGUGGGAGCCCUCUGUUGUGGGCACAGUUUUCUCAUGAAACUUUAGAUGGACACAAUGGGUGGGAUUAUCCACUUCCAUCACACAAACAUUUUUAUUACCCUUGAUUUUAACGGAACUAUGUUAUAAAAACAAAUGAUAAAAUAAAGUAUAAUAAAAGAAUAAAUCUCAUAGUGGACUACUAUCAUUUUCCCCAGCCACUGAGGAGGGCAGGAGACACACACGGGAAAGAAGAUGGAGCAGUGUGAAGAAUCAUGCUUAGUGAGGAGGGGAGUGUUUCUGAGACAGGCCUUACCUGCUACCACCUAGGGAAGUAGGCAGCCGUGCAGGACCAACUGGAAGAAAUGGCACAUUAUUUCUGAGACCUACUCCAGCUCAUAACAAAUUAUGGAUAACAUGGGGAAGAAUGAGAUUUCCAGGACACUUAAUUGUUCUCAUGAGAAACCUGUACAUAGAAAAAGAGGCAGUCAUCUAAACAGAACAAGGAAUACUGCAUGGUUUAAAGUCAAGAAAGGUGUGCAUCUCCAUUGUAUCCUUUCACCAUACCUAUUCGACCUGUAUGAUGAGCAAAUAAUCCGAGAAGCUGGACUGUCUGAAGAAGAAUAAGGCGUCAGGAUUGGAGGAAGACUCAUUAAUAACCUGAGAUAUGCAGAUGAUACAAUCUCGCUUGUUGAAAGUGAAGAGGCCUUAAAGCAUUUACUGAAGAAAAUCAAAGACUACAGACCAAGAGCCUAACAACAGGACCAAUAAGCAACAUCAUGACAACGGAGAAAAUGUUGACAUCGCUAAGGGCUUCAUUUUACUUGGAUCCACAAUAAACACCCACGGAAGCAGCAGUCAAGAAAUCAAACGACACAUUGCAUUGGGCAAAUCUGCUGCCAGAGACCUCUUUAAAGUGUUCAAAUGCACAGAUGUCACCUUGAAAACUAAUGUGCGCCUGACUCAAGCCAUGGUGUUUUCAGUCACCUCAUACGCACACGAAAGGUGGGCAAUGAAUAAGGAAGACUAAAGAAAAAUUGAAGGCACUGAAUUACGGUAUUUGCAAAGAAUAUUGAAUAUACCACGGACUGCCAAAAGAAUGAACAAAUCUGUCUUGAAAGAAGUACAGCCAGAAUAUUCCUUAGAAGCAAGAAUGGCGAGGCUUCAUCUCACAUAUUUUGGACAUGUUGUCAGGAGAGAUCAGUCCCUGGAGAAGAAAGUCAUACUUGGUAACAAGUGGCCACAACAACCGGCUCAAACAUAACGACGACUGUGAAGGCGACAAUAGCCACUGAGGAGGGCAGGAGACACACACGGGAAAGAAGAUGGAGCAGUGUGAAGAAUCAUGCUUAGUGAGGAGGGGAGUGUUUCUGAGACAGGCCUUACCUGCUACCACCUAGGGAAGUAGGCAGCCGUGCAGGACCAACUGGAAGAAAUGGCACAUUAUUUCUGAGACCUACUCCAGCUCAUAACAAAUUAUGGAUAACAUGGGGAAGAAUGAGAUUUCCAGGACACUUAAUUGUUCUCAUGAGAAACCUGUACAUAGAAAAAGAGGCAGUCAUCUAAACAGAACAAGGAAUACUGCAUGGUUUAAAGUCAAGAAAGGUGUGCAUCUCCAUUGUAUCCUUUCACCAUACCUAUUCGACCUGUAUGAUGAGCAAAUAAUCCGAGAAGCUGGACUGUCUGAAGAAGAAUAAGGCGUCAGGAUUGGAGGAAGACUCAUUAAUAACCUGAGAUAUGCAGAUGAUACAAUCUCGCUUGUUGAAAGUGAAGAGGCCUUAAAGCAUUUACUGAAGAAAAUCAAAGACUACAGACCAAGAGCCUAACAACAGGACCAAUAAGCAACAUCAUGACAACGGAGAAAAUGUUGACAUCGCUAAGGGCUUCAUUUUACUUGGAUCCACAAUAAACACCCACGGAAGCAGCAGUCAAGAAAUCAAACGACACAUUGCAUUGGGCAAAUCUGCUGCCAGAGACCUCUUUAAAGUGUUCAAAUGCACAGAUGUCACCUUGAAAACUAAUGUGCGCCUGACUCAAGCCAUGGUGUUUUCAGUCACCUCAUACGCACACGAAAGGUGGGCAAUGAAUAAGGAAGACUAAAGAAAAAUUGAAGGCACUGAAUUACGGUAUUUGCAAAGAAUAUUGAAUAUACCACGGACUGCCAAAAGAAUGAACAAAUCUGUCUUGAAAGAAGUACAGCCAGAAUAUUCCUUAGAAGCAAGAAUGGCAAGGCUUCAUCUCACAUAUUUUGGACAUGUUGUCAGGAGAGAUCAGUCCCUGGAGAAGAAAGUCAUACUUGGUAACAAGUGGCCACAACAACCGGCUCAAACAUAACGACGACUGUGAAGGCGACAAUAGGUAGUUUAACAUACAUUUUGACCCAUACGAAUUAAAAUUUAAACAAUUAUUUCAUGCCUUUUUGUAGCGGUUUCAGAAUAUACAAUUAAAAUAAAUGUAAACAAUUAAUAGAAAAAAUCUCUGAAAAUAACAUUUAAUUUUUUAAAGUCACUGCUCCAUAGCCCAAAUCUAAAUGGCUUGAUAUAAAGCACUGGUAUUUGUGAUUCACAAAAAGCAGGUACCAAUUCCUGAACAAGAACUGAAGUGACAGGAGAAACUCCCCAUGCUGUUAGAGCCCUGAGUAUGGGCCCUAAUCCAAUAAUCUGUCCUCAUUAAUUCCUUUUCAUUUCAUCUCUGUGAAAGAGGGGAGGGAGAAGGUGAGAGAGGGUUACAUGUGCCUAUUCUGUUCUUUAGCAUCUAGUUCACUGCCAGGAACAACUAUUCAUAACAGGCUACAAAACAUUAAAGUACAAAUAAGGAGGAAAACCUCCUAGUAUAUAUAUGUAUUAGGUGGCACAAAGAGUUAAGUGCUCAGCUACUAACUGAAAGGUUGGCAGUUUAAAUCCACUCAGUUGCCUUGGAAGAAAGGCCUGGCAAUCUACCUCCAAAUGGUCACAGCUAUUGAAAACCGUAUGGAGGGCAGUUCUACUCUGAAAACUCACGGGGUCGUCAUGAGUGAAAAUCUACUCAACGGCAAGUGGAUUGGUAAUCUAUAUAUGGCAUAAAUGUUCGGAAAAUUAGUUUCUGAACAUAUACACGGCAUACAGAAUACACUGCACAUUAGUAUUAUGUGCCAAAACCCACUGUCAUCAAGUCGAUUCUAACUCAUAGUGACCCCAAAGGACAGAGUAAAACUGCCCCAUAGGGUUUCCAAGGCUGUAAGUCUUCACUGAAGCAGACUGCCACAUCUGUCUCCUGCAGAGAGGCUGGUGGGUUCGAACCACUGACCUUUCAGUUAACAGCCAAGUUCUUUAGCCACACAGCCGCUAGGGCUCACUGCUGUCAUGUACAGUGAUUACAUAAGCAAAUUCUGAAACAAACUGCCUGGGUUUAAAUCCUAACUCAAUCUAUCAGCUGGUUGAUCUGGGAAUGUUACUUUAUCUCUCACUGCCUCAGUUUCCCAUUUCUAAAAUGGGUCUUAUUCAAAAGGUUGUUACGCAGGUUAAAUAAAACACACAAGGCACUUAGAAAAAGGCCUUACACACAGAAUGAACACAAUAAAUGUUAGCUUUCAUAAUUAUUAAGGGAAUACAAACAGCUUAGUUGAAGAAACUUCCAUUGAGAAAUAGUUGCGUUCCAAAAUUCAUGUGUAAAGUCAUUUACAUCAACUGUUAAAGUUGUAUGUUUAGAUUCAAGUGAUUACUGAGGUGUGUUAUGAUCUUGAACAGAGUUCAGGGGACUAUACAGGCUGACUCUGCAUGCCCUUCUCCUGCACAUCCAUUCCAUCUCCCUUGGAGCCCAGACAUCAUGUUAUCAAUUAAACCCCUCCCACACUGGUGGUGUACUGUUUAAGAGCUAUGGCUGCUAACCAAAAGGUCAUCAGUUCAAAUCCACCAGGCGCUCCUUGCAAAGUCUAUGGCACAGUUCUGCUCUGCCCUAUUGGGCCGCUAUGAGUUGGAAUAGACUCAGUGGCAAUGGGUUUUUAAUGGGUAUGAGUUAACUGUUCAGUGCUUAAAGACAUACCCAAAGCAACCACGAACACAAAAGUAUAGUAAAAAGUUCUUAUUUCAGAAUAGCAACACCUUUUUCUAACACAGUGGUGAAUUAGGGUGGACUGUGGAUCAAGAGGAGGCCUGGUGGCAUAGUGGUUAAGAGCUCAGCUGCUAACCAAAAGGUCAGCAGUUCGAAUGCACCAACUAGUCCUUGGAAACUCUAUGAGGUAGUUCUACUCUAUGCUAUAGGGUCUCUAUGAGUUAAUAUCAACUAGGGUCUGUACGGGUUGGAAUCAACUUGAUGGUGACAAGUUUGAUUUGGUUUGGAUUAAAUUAUGACCCUAAAAAACGUGUGUUUCAACUUGGUUAGGCCAUGAUUCCCACUAUUGCCUAGUUGUCCUUCAUUUUGUGAUUGUAAUUUUACUGUAAGAGGAUUAGGGUGGGAUUGUAACACCACCCUCACUCAGGUCACCUUUCCCUGAGGUGUGGCCUGCACCACCUUUUAUCUCGCAAGAGGUAAAAGGAAAGGGAAGCAAGCGGAGAGUUGGGGUCCUCAGACUAUCAAGAAAGCAGCACCAGGAGCAGAGCAUGUCCUCUGGACCCAGGGUCCCUGCACCUGAGAAGCUCCUUGACCAUGGGAAGGAUAAGGACAAGGACCUUCUUCCAGAGCCGAAAGAGAGAGAAAACUUUCCCUUAGAGCUGAUGCCUUGGACUAUUAGCCUACUUUAAUGCGAGGUAUUAAAUUUCUCUCGGUUAAAGCCAUCCACUCAUGGUAUUUCUGUUAUGGCAGCACUAGAUGAUGAAGACAGUGGGUAAAGGUGGAAGGGGUGGAUGAAGGACAAAAAAAGAAAAAUGGACAACAAGAGAAAUAUAAGAAUUCAGAGAACUGUGAAAAUUUAAUUCCUGAAUAUACUUUCUUUCUCCUCCCUGUAACUGUAAGGACUUUUCUCAUAUACAGCAUAUAUAAGUAAAUCCUUGCAAUAUUUAAAACACUUAGAUUUUUGUAAAACUCAUUCUCUGAAAACUCAUGGUGGCCCCAUUAAUUUGUGGCUUAAAAACAACUCAGAACUAAAAAGAAGCAUAAAUAAAUAAAUAAAGGCACUGCUGUCAUUUGCGGGUGAUGUUCUUUUCCUGCUAUCCACAACCCACACACUUGGGAGUUAAUUUUCCAGGGUCAGUGUUCACAGACCAUCCUCUUUCUCUCACCACCACCCCACCACCCUUAAUUAUUUAGAAAAGGCAGGGCCAGUCAGUGCUCCAAACAUCAAGAUUUCUCUCUAAAAUGCCAACUCGCACUUGGGGAGCAGGCUACAUUCUCAGCUAUCAGCAAUUCCACUAGCCCCUGCAGAUAAGGAACAUGUCUCCACUGAACUGUUCGUUGUAAUUAAAAAAACAAAAAAAGUAAAAAACUGUUUCUUAAAACCAGAAAAAAAAAAAAAAAAACAGGCAUUUCCCUAUUACCCACCCACCCCACUCUCCCACACCGAGUGCUCCCCUCACCACACACACACUCAAAUAUUUCCUACCAAGGGUGUGUCCCAAGCUCGGGGUCUGGCUCCGCUCUUCUUUUACACCUCUUGGAGGCCUCUGGAGAAACCAUACCUUUGGUUGGCAAUUCCCUGAACCCUGCCUAUUUAAGCUGGCACUUAUUCAAAAAGGCAGGUGAGUCUUCAAGUCAGGUUUUUAAAAGGAGUUUAAGAGGAGCCAGGUGAUAUGCCUACUCACCCUCAAGUUUCUCAAAGGUAAUAAUUUCUUGAGAUGUUUACAAUGUCUCAACUAUGGGUUAAUUAAAUCCCUUAGGAUGGUGGGCAUAGGAAAAUCCUGCAUCUCAAUGCCCCCCACUUUGAAAAAAAAGAGGGGGAAUCUCCAAAAUCACAAAUUUGAAUUUCUACAUACUUGAUUGAACUAAGGAGUAAGUUCCUCAUGUGUGUUAUUCUUGGUUUGAGCUUGGUGGUGCAGUGGUUAAGAGCUCAGCUGCUAACCAAAAGGUCUGCUGUUUGAAUCCAACAGCUGCUCCUUAGAAACCGUAUGGGGUAGUUCUACUCCGUCCUAUAGGGUUGCUAAGAGUCAGAAUUCACUGGAUGGCAAUUGGUUUGUUUGUUUUUCAAUCUUUGGCUGAAAGGUAGACUUUGUUAUCAAUUUAUUAAAUCAACUGGUAAUUUGCUGGAUAUUUCUCAUACAGGAACUUAUGAUGUCUUCAAAUCCAGCCAAUCAGGUUUAGGAAGAGAGAAACUUCUCUACCUUAGCCUCCCUGCCACUCCCACACCUUUUUCAUUGAUUUCCAUGCCCUGUUUAAGUAACAUCACUCCUCACUUCUCACUGUCUAGGUUAUCUGAGCCAAUUCAUGGCAGUCAAUUCCACCUGAGCCCUAGGAUACCCUCAUUUACAUACUCUGCCCUGUUCCUUCACCAAUGGCUGACCUCACAUCUCCCCUUGAAUGUCUACUAGGCAUCUCAAACUUAAUGUGGUUCAAAUAAAAUUCUUCGUCCAAGUGUCUUAUCUACCUCCCAGUCUUCCUUAUCUCAGCAAAUGUUCUCACUAUCCUCUGGAUUGUUCAGGACAAAAACCUAGAAAUCAUCCUUGAUUUCUCUCCUUUAUUCAAAUCUUGCAUCCAAUCCAUUGACACAUAUUCUGGACUCUUGGCGCUACCUUAAAAUAAAUCCUGACUCUAUCCACUUCUCACUACCUCCACCUUACAGCCACCAUCAUCUCUUGGUGAAAACUGGACUCCGUGCCACCGAUCUUCCCUCUUACAGUCUACAUAACAGCAUCACCUCAGUGCCUUCUCAUGGCAAUUAGGAAAAAUUCCCAAAUCCUUCCCAUGGUCUUUCAUGAUGCGGGGCUUGCCCACCAUACUAACCUCAUUUCCUAACAGUCUUCCCUCGGUUCACUCCACACUAGCCAUGACUUAUUUCCUGAGCUUCCUCAAAACAUGCCAGAACACUUGGUUAUUAAAGGGCCUCAGAAACAACUCUUUCCUUUAUUGGCAAUAUCCUCCCUCCAGAACUUCAUACAGCUAUUCUCUCCUUUGAUAUAGGUCAGUUAUCUCCUCAAAUAUCCUGAUCCCAUAAGCCUUUACUAACUAUUAAUCUAAAACAGCUCACCCCACUCAUUCCCUCACAUGCAACUCUGUCUUAUUUUCAAAAUAUUUAGCUCUCCUUGACAUUUUUUGUUAAUUAUUACCUGUAAAUGUAUUUUUUGUGGUUGAGAAUAUAUGCAGCAAAACAUACACCAACUCAACAGUUUCUACCUGUACAAUUUAACGACAUCGGUUACAUUCAAGUUGUGCAACCAUUCUUACCCUCCUUUUCUGAGUAGUUCCUCUGUCAUUAGCAUAAACCCACUGCUCCUUAAGGUUCCUAUCUAAUCUUUUCAGUAGCUGUUGUCAAUCUGAUGCCAUAUAGACAGUUCUUAAAAGAGCAUAUGCUCAAGGUAGACCAUUUUUAUUAGUUAAGUAGCUAAUGUUCUGGAGCCCUCGUGGCACAGUGGUUAAGUGAUACGGUAGCCAAGCAAAAGAAGAGCAGUUUGAAUCCACCACCUGCACCUUGGAAACUCUAUGGGGCAGUGCUAUUCUGUCCUACAGGGUCUCUGAGUCGGAAUCAACUCAAUGGCAACAGUAUGGUGUUUUCUUUUUUAUACUUCAGUUUUAAGAUGAUUCAAGGGAAGGCUUUUGGUGUAAUGUUUAAAGAUUAUCUCACGGCAAUAGUUUCAGGAGUUCAUUCACCCUCAAUGGCUCCAAAAAGUCUAGGGUUCAUGAGAAUUUGAAAUUCUGUUCUGCAUUUUCCCCCUUUUGAUCAGGGCUUUGCUAUGGACUCUUUGAUCAAAAUGUUCAGCGACAGUAGCCGGGAACCUUCUGGUUCUUCUGGUCUCAUGGCAUGCUAGAUGUUCUUUUAAAAAACAUGAGUGGAUGCUGGAGGUUAUCAAAUACUUAUUUUAUUACACCUAUUAGUAUAACCACAUUUAUUUUUCCUGUACAUAUGGCAAAUUGUACUGAUUCAUUUUUGAAUGUUAAACUAACCUUGAAUUCUUGGGAUAGACCCAACUUGGUCAUAAUAUAUUCUUCUUUAGAGUAUUGCUGGAUUUGUUUUGCCUAUUUCUUUUUAUAUUUUGCAUCUAUGUUCAUCAGUGACAUUGGCCUGUAAUUUUCCCAUCUUGUGCUGCUCUUGUCAGGUUUUGGUAUCAAUAUUCAUUCUACAAGCUUUAUAAAAUGAGUUUGGGUAUAUAUUUCAUUUUAUAUUGAAGAAUUUGUGAAGUAUUUCUUGAAUAUUUGGCAGAAUUUGCAGGAAAAGCCAUCUGACAUGAAGUUUUCUUUUUGAGAAUAGUUUGAGCUCCAAUUCAAUUCUAUUAACAAUUGUGGAAUUACUUUUGCUUCCUGUUUCUUCUUGAAUCGUUGUUAUUAACUUACAUGGUAUGAUACGUUUGCCUACUUUACCUAAAUUUGCAAAUUUAUUAGCUAAUAUGGUUCAUAACAUUCUCACAUUAUCUUUAAGUUCUGCAAGAUCUGCAGUCAUUUUCUUUCUAAUUCCUGAUAUUCGUUAUUUAUACCUUCAUUCUUUUUCACUUGAUCAAUCUUGCCUAAAGUUUGUCAAUUUUACUAGCAUUUUCUAAGAAUUCACUUUAGUCUUCGUUGAUCGUCUGUUGCAUGUAUCCAAUCAUUAAUAGAAACAAAAAUUCCUAUGAAUGUUUGUUUCUGUUUUUUUCCCAACAUUUUGAAUGGAUGUUUAACUCACUUAUUUUUCAAAAUUUGUUCUUUCCAAUUAUAUUUUUAAGGCUAUAAGUUUCCUAUAUUAUAUUGUCUGUACUGCACCAAUUUUUAUAUGUACUAUGUUCAUAAUUGUUCCCUUCAAAAUAUAUUCUAAUUUUCAUUAUGAUGUCUUUUUUAAUGCCUAGUAUUUUAAAAUAUCCAAGCACAUGGAGAUUUUGUAUUUUCUUUUUCUAAGAUGGUUUUUUUUUUAAACUAUGCUGUACUUACACAGUAUCCUCUAUAUUAUUGCAGACUCUUGAAAUUUGUUGAGACUUGCUUUAUAACACAGUAUACAGUUAAUUUUUAUAAACACUAUGUAUGUGCAUGAGAUGAAUGUAUAUUCUUUAGUGGUUAGAUAAUGCACACACAUACACAUAUAUCAAUUUGGUAUUUUUAUACAUGUUAAAUCUUCUGUAUCCUUGACAAUUUAUGGACUUCUAUGUUUCUGAGGGGUGUGUUAAAAAUCUAUUAUGAUGCAUGAUGUCAAAAGGAGCCCCAGUAGUGCAGUGGUUAAGCACUCAGCUGUUAAACCUUUUGAUUUGAUCCACCAACUAUUCCACAGGAGAAAGAUAUGACAGUUUCCUUCCAUAAAGAUUACAGCCUUAGAAACCCUUUGGAGAAGUUCUACUCCAUCCUAUAGUCACUAUGAGUCAGAACUGACUCAACAGCACAUAAGAAAAAAUGUAUGAUGUGAUGGAAACUGAGCAGUACGAAGGUAUAAGAAUUGAACCUACAUCCAGGGUCAAAGGAUGAAGGACAGAGAAAACAGCAGAGACAUCCAAAAGCUUGGAAAAAAGGGGGCUGAGAGGACAAUGGUUGGUGGUUUAAGGGCUUUGAAGGGCUACCACAUAUACUGAGGAAUCUGAAGUGCAAUAUUCUUGCCUAAGGAUGAAGACAUGCUCAUAAAGAUCCUGACAAAGCUUUAGGCUUGCACCUCUGGCUGAUCUUUGGGCUCCACGGGGGCAGGAAGUGAAGGCUAAGGCAGAGUUUUAGGCACUCUUGCUUAGCACUGAAAGAACACCCCAGUUCAGAGCCAAUCUGCAAAGACUGGGAUAAUGUUACUUUUUCUUUUUGGCUACAAGCAUUUAAAGAAAUCACUGUCAGGUCAUGAACUGACUGCUGUCAUAACAGAACAGAACUUCAGUGUCCACACAUGAGAAGACAUACAAUCUUUGCAGAACUAGUUUGGAAACAUCACUAAGCAAAUGGAUGACUGGCCCUCAACAAUUAAAAAAAAAAAAGCAAACUCUAAUGACUGGAGGGAAUCUGAUUUCCAGAGUUACAUUAUAAUAUUUAAGAUAUCCAGUUUUCAACACACUAUUUUAAGUCAUAAAAGGAAAAAGAAAAGGAUGGUUCAUUUGUUAAGAAGAAAGAAAGAAGAGAAUGAACAGAAAGCAUCCCUAAGGAAACACAGAUAUUGGGAUUACUAGACAAAGAUUUUAAACCAAUUGUCUUAAAUUUCCUCAAAGAGCUAAAGAAACCAUAGACCAAAAAAAAAAGGAAACCAAGAGAAGAAUGUAUGAACCAGUAGAAAAUAUUAAUAAAGAAAUAUUAUACAAAAGAACCAAAUAGAAAUUAUAGAGCUGAAAAGUAGAAUAGCUGAAAUAAAAUUUUCAUUAGAGGAGCUCAACAGCAGAUUUGAGCAAGAAAGCAGGAAAAUGUAAACUUGAAAAAGCACAACUGAAAUUGUUCUAACUGAGGAGCGUAAAGGAAAAAGAAUGAAGAAAAUGAACAGAGCCUAAGGGACCUGCGGGACAACAUCAAGCAUACCAAUAUACUCAUUAAGGAGUCCCAGAAAGGAAAGAAAGAUGAAAGGACAGAAAGAAUAUUUGAAAACGUAAUGACUGGAAGUCUCCCAAAUGUCAUCUAGAUAUCCAAGAAGCUCAAUAAACUCAAAGGACAAUAAAUACAUAGAUAUCCACAGACAGACAUAAUCAAAAUGUCAAAAGACGAAGACAGAAACUUGAAAGUAGCAAGAGAUAAGUGACCCCUAAUGUACAAGAAGAGAGUCUCAACAAGUUUAACUGUUGAUUUUUCAUCAGACACCAUUGAGAUGAGAAAAUAGUGGGAUGAUGUAUUUAAGAUACUGGAAAAAAAAAUACAGAAACAAAACUAUGAACCAAGAUGUCAGUAUCUAGCAAAACUAUCUUUCAAAAAUAAAGGGGAAAUUAAGACAUGCCCAGAUACACAAAACCUGAGGGAGUGUGUUAGCAGCAGAACUGCCUUAUGAGAAAUGCUACAGGGAAUCAUUCUGGCUGGCAUGGAAGGACACUAGACAGUAACUGGAAGCCAUAAAAAGAAACAAAGACUCCAUAAAGGUAACUACUUAGAUAAAACAAAGUCAGUAAUAUUUUUAUAUCAUGCCUCUCUUUUUUUCCUAUAUGAUUUAAAGCACGAAUGCAUAAAAAUACUUACACAUCUCUCUUAAUGGACACACAAUGUAUAAAGAUGCAAUUUUUGUACCAGCAACGUAAGUAGGGGAGGUAACUGAGCUGAAUAAAAGCAGAAUUUUGUAUACUGUUGAGGCUAAAUUUGUAUUAAUUAAAAGAAGAUUGUUAUAAAUAUAAGAUAUUAAUUGUAAUCCUCAUGCUCACCACUAAGAAGUUAAAAAAUAUAAGGAAAGGAAACAAGGAGAGGAUCAAAAUUGUACACUUGAAAAAAAAUCAGUCAAACACAAAAGUGCACAGUAGUGAAGAAAAUGAGAAACAAAAUACGUAUAUGACCUACUAUUACAAAGUAGAAGAUAUAAGUCCUUCCUUAUCAUGAAUUGCUUUAAAUAUAAAUAGAUUAAAUUCACAAUUGGGAUCAUUAAAGUUGUGUGUUAACUUUGUUGGACCAUGAUUCUCAGUGCUUUGGCAGUUAUGAUGUAGUUUAGCAGUCGUAAAACGAUGCAAUCACUUCCAUGAUGAGAUGUGAUAUAAUGUGAUUACCUCCAUGAUGGGAUCUGCUGUGAGUAGCCAAUCAGAUGUUUCCUCAGGGGUGUGGACUGCAUCCAAUAUAGGUGGACUUUCUGGCAAGGCUCUUGAGCUUUUGCUCACUCUGAAUCCUGCAGCUGGCUCCUCUUCAUCUGAUCUCAAGUUUUUGGGACUUGAACUCUCAGCUUACCUUCCAAUUUGGGGAUUCAUCAGCCUCCGCAGUCUGUGAGCCGCGGGCUGCCAGCUUACCUGCCGAUCUUGAGAUUUGUCAGCCUUUGCAGCCUGUGAGCCACAGACCUGUUGUAUGACCUGCAGAUCUUCAGUUCUGCAGUCCCUGCAUCUAUGUGAGUCAGGAGAAGCCACCAGGCUGACCCAUGGACUUGAGACUUACCAGCCUCUACAGCCUCGGGAGCCAUUUCCUUGAUAUAAAUCUAUUUAUAUAUAAAUACAUACAUAUAUAUAUAUAUCACUGGUUUUGCUUCUCUAGAGAACCCAGCCUAAGAUACCAAUUAAAAGACAAACACUGGCAGAAUGAAUAAAAAAAUCAUUCAAUUGCUAUCAAGCUGAUCUGACUCAGGGUGACCCCUCGCCCCAUGUGUGUCAGAGUAGUAGUGACACACAAGUGUGUCAGUUCAACGGCUAAUUUUUCAAAAGUAGAUCGCCAAGCCUUUCUUCCGAAGUGCCUCUGGGUGGACUCAAACCUUCAACAUUUUGGUUAGCAGCUGAAUGCAUUAACCGUUUGCACCUCCCAAGGACUCUAUGUUUAUUUCUGUAUUACUUGUCUUUAUACUAUAUACAUACACACACACAUAGACAUCCAUGAGUGGUUCAUACAGAUGCUUUGGACUUCGACUAGCAGGGCUCUAUUAAUUAUUGAUAGAAAAGUACUGAUACCAAUUACAAAUGCGUAUUUGUCCAUUUCCCCUUUCGGAUUUAUUAGUUUUUGUAUUUUGGAGCCCUGUUGUUAAAUAUGUACACAUUUAGGAUGGUUGUAUCUUUUUGGAGAAGUGAACCUCUAUUAUGUUAUGUCCCUACCUAUUCCCAAUAAUACUCCUUUUUCUGAAGUAUAAUUUGUCUGAUAUUAAUAUAGUACUGCAGUAGAACUGGAUAAUUUUCAACCAUUUCAAGAGGUAGCAUAAGAUCAAGAACUGAUGGUAUAAAAGGAAGAAAUCGAAGCUGCAUUGAAGGCAUUGGUGAAAAAACUAUCCUCUCUCCACCAUCUUCACUAACCCUGACACCAACUGUCCCUCACACAGCACUCCCUACUUCUCUGCUGGGUUCAAUAAUUCAUUGCAACGGCCACACAGAGCUCACAGUCCAUAUUCAUGAUUAUGGGGUUUAUUAGGGAAGUAACAGUUAUAACUCAGGCUCAAAGAUACUCAGAAUACAUUUCUUCUAUCAGGACAACCUCUUCCCUCCUGUGCUCGUAGGCGUGCCUCUGCCUGGCCUUGGGCCUCUCUCCAAAGGCACUCAGCUUUCCUUCUCCCUGGGCCAGCAUCUCCUAUAGCCGGGUCCCUGUUGCUUGGUCUCUCCUGCCAUGGCAUCUUACCGUCUUCAGGGUUACAGCUUCCUCUCUCUAUCUCAGUCUCCUGCUUCUAGGAGCUUCUCAGUGCAGGGAUCUCAGGUCCAUAAUAUAUGCUCAGCUCCUGGCUGUUCUUCCUUGAUGGGAGUUGAAUCCUCCUCUUUGCUCUGGAACUGGUUCUCUUUGAAGGGAAAACUAAACAAUCCCCUUGGUGAGCCACAACUACCCUAUCACACAGUCCUGCCCAAGCGCCAGGGUGGAUGUUAUAAGACCAUGGCUAGAAAGGCCACACAAAGUAAACAAUCACAUCACAGCACCUUGGACUCAUUUUUCGAGCGAAGUAUCAAAAAUCCCAUACGAACAGAUUGGUAAAGAACAUAAUCAACGGCAAGAACAUUUUCAUAAUUAUGUUUUCUGUAUUUGGAAGAAAUCUAUAGCACUAUUCUUAUUUUGCCAGUUCACAGGGAUCACAGAGAUUAGUGGUAGAUAUUGCAGUACCGGAAAACUCUCUGGUGAAACAGUCUGUGAGCAGUCUUACAAACACGGAUAUUCCACCAGAGUCAAAAGAAUGACGUUACAUUAAUCAUCAUAGAGAACAUUUCAAGAUCUAGCCUGAAGUACAAUGUUGUCACUGAUAGGCUAAUAUCCAUACACUUACAAGGAAGACCAGUUUAUAUGACUAUUCAAAUUUAUGCACCAACCACCAAUGCCAAAGACAAAGAAAUUGAAGAUUUUAAACAACUUCUGCAGCCUGAGAUUGAUCAAACGUGCAAUCAAGAUGCAUUGAUAAUUACUGGUCAUUAGAAUGUUAAAGUUGGAAACAAAGAAGGAAAAGUAGUUGAAAAAUACAGCAUUGCUGAUAGAAAUGAUGCCAGAAAUCUCAUGAAAGAAGUUUGCAAGACCAGUGACUCAUCCACUGCAAAUAUUUUUUUUCACCAACAUAAACGGCAGCUAUACACGUGGACUUUACCAGUUGGAAUACACAGGAAUCAAACUGACUACAUCUGUGGGAAGAGAAGAUGGGAAAACUCAUAUCAUCAGUCAGAACAAGGCCAGGGAUCGAUUGUGAAACAGACUGUCAAUUGCUCAUAUGGGAGUUCAAGUUGAAACGGAAGAAAAGUAGAAUAAGUCAAAAAGGGCCAAAGUAUGACCUUGAGUAUAUCUCACCUGUAUUUAGAGACCACCUCAAGAAUACAUUUUAUGUGGUAAACACUAAUGACUGAAGACCAGGUGAGUUGUGGAAUGACAUCAAGGACAUCACACAUGAAGAAAGCAAGAGGUCCUUUAAAAGACAGGAAAGAAAGAAAAGACCAUAAUGGAUGUCGGAAGAGACUCUGAACCUUGCUCUUGAAUGUCGAGUAGCUAAAGGGAAAGGAAGAAAUGACGAAGUAAUAGAGCUGAACAGAAGAUUUCAAAGGGUGGCUUGAGAAGAAAAAGUAUUAUAAUGACAUGUGUAAAGAUCUGGAGAUGGAUAACCAAAACGGAAGAACACACUCAGCAUUUCUCAAGCUGAAAGAACUGAAGAAAAAAUUCAACCCUUGAGUUGCAAUACUGAAGGAUUCUACGGGUAUAAUAUUAAAUGACGCAGGAAGCAUCAAAAGAAGAUGAAAGUAAUACCCACAGUCACUAUGCCAAAAAGAAUUGGUCGACCUUCAACCAUUUCAGGAAGUAGCAUAUGAUCAGAAACCGAUGGUACUGAAGGAAGAAGUCCAUGCUGCACUGAAGGAAUCGGUGAGAAAAAAAAGCCUCCGAGAAUUGAUGGAAUACCAACUGAGAUGUUUCACCAAAUGGAUGCAGCACUGGAAUCGCUCACUUGUCUAAUCCCAAGAAAUUUGGAAUACAGCUACCUGGCCUACGAACUGGAAAGGAUCCAUAUUUACGCUGAUUCCUAAGAAAGGUGAUCCAACCAAAUGUGGAAAUUAUCAAACAACAUCAUUAAUAUCACAUGCAAGUAAUAUUCUGCUAAAAAUCAUGCAAAAGCAGCUGCAGCAGUACAUUGACAGGGAACUGCCAGAAAUUUAAGCAGGAUUCAGAAGAGGACAUGGAAGGAGGGAUAUCACAGCUGAUGUCAUAUUGAUUCUGGCUGAAAGCAGAGAAUACCAGAAAGAUGUUUACCUGUGUUUUAUUGACUAUGCAAAGGCAUUUGACUGCUUGGGUAAUAACAAAUUAUGGAUAACAUUGCGAAGAGUGGGAAUUCCAGAACACUUAAUUGUGCUGAUGAGGAACCUGAUCAAGAAGUAGACGUUCAAACAGAAAAAGGUGAUACUGCGUGGUUUAAAGUCAGGAAAGGUGUGUGUCAGGGUUGUAUUCUUUUACAAUACUUAUUUAAUCUGCAAAUAAUCUGAGAAGCUGGACUUUACCAAGAACACGACAUCAGCAUUGGAGGAAGACUCAUUAACAACCUGCAUUUUGCAGAUGACACAACCCUGCUUGCUAAAAGAUAAGAGGGCUUGAAGCACUUACUGAUGAAGAUCAAAGACCGCGGCCUUCAGUAGAGAUCGCACCUCAACAUAAAGAAAACAAAAAUCCUCACAACUGGACCAAUGAGCAACAUCAUGAUCAAUGGAGAAAAGACUGAAGUUGUCAAGGAUUUCAUUUUAUUUGGAUCCACAAUCGACACCCAUGGAAACAGCAGUUAAGAAAUCAAAAGAUGCAUUGCAUUAGGCAAAUCGGCUGCAAAAGACCUCUAAAGUGUUGAAAAGCAAAGACAUCACCUUGAAAACUAAGAUGCAACUGAUCCAAGCCACAGUGUUUUCAGUGGCCUCGUAUGUGUGGGAAAGCUGGCUGAUGAAUAAGGAAGACCGAAGAAGAAUUGAUGCCUUUUAAUUGUGUUGGUGAAGAAUUCUGAAUAUACCAUGAACUGCCAAAAGAACGAAAAAAUCUAUCCUGAAAGAAGUAUAACCAGAAUGUACCCUAGCCUAGAAACAAAGAUGGCUGGCUAGACUACAUCCUACAUACUUUGGACCUGUUUUCAGGAGGAAUUAGUCCAUGGAGAAGGAUAUCAUGUACUAUUUCUUUGGACUAUCUAAGACCUGAAGAACAAAAUCUCAUGGUCCAAAUUAACGUUUUUACUUACUAAUUUUCAAAUGUAGCCCUGGUGGAAGAGUGGUUAAGAGCUUGGCUGAAACUAAAAGGUUUCAACCAGCCUCUCCUUAGAAGCCCUGCUAUGCAGUUCUAUUCUGUCCAAUAGGGUCACUGUUAGUUAAAAUUUAAUCCACAGCAAUGAGUUAUUUAAUUUUCAAAUAUAAAUUUUUUGUGUUUAUGUCUAAAUUCUAAAGUAAAUUUUAUUUUAUAAACUUCCGGUUUUAUAAAUUUAUUUUCUAUUAUUCAAAUUUAUUAUUAUGGCAGAAUCAAAUUUAAAAAGUGACAUUAAUUUUCAAUCCAGGCAAAAUGAAACGGCAAUAACUAAGUGCCGUACAAAAAUGGAAGCCUGCAGAAGAUAAAAAGAAAAUGAUCUGUGAAUCCCUAAAGACUAUUCCAAAAUUCGUUUUUAGAAUGUAAUAAAUCAGCAGAGACUUCUUGCAUUAAAGGUACGUGCUUAAUGGGUGGGAAUCAUCUUACUAGUACCACUAGUGCUGAAAUUAACGAUGGCAAUACUAAUAUAACAGAAUUUGUUCCAAAUUCUGCAACUAUUUCUUGCUGUAGUAAAAAAAAAAGAAAUUAGUAA